rnacentral:rRNA from 1 species
AUUGAACGCUGGCGGCAGGCCUAACACAUGCAAGUCGAGCGGAUGAAGGGAGCUUGCUCCUGGAUUCAGCGGCGGACGGGUGAGUAAUGCCUAGGAAUCUGCCUGGUAGUGGGGGAUAACGUCCGGAAACGGGCGCUAAUACCGCAUACGUCCUGAGGGAGAAAGUGGGGGAUCUUCGGACCUCACGCUAUCAGAUGAGCCUAGGUCGGAUUAGCUAGUUGGUGGGGUAAAGGCCUACCAAGGCGACGAUCCGUAACUGGUCUGAGAGGAUGAUCAGUCACACUGGAACUGAGACACGGUCCAGACUCCUACGGGAGGCAGCAGUGGGGAAUAUUGGACAAUGGGCGAAAGCCUGAUCCAGCCAUGCCGCGUGUGUGAAGAAGGUCUUCGGAUUGUAAAGCACUUUAAGUUGGGAGGAAGGGCAGUAAGUUAAUACCGUGCUGUUUUGACGUUACCAACAGAAUAAGCACCGACUAACUUCGUG